UAGCCCCAUACCCUACAGUGCGAUCACUCAACACGUUGGGUCCUAUCCAUCAGAGAGACCAACUGGCUGUCGUGCCAUUACCCUUUCCAGACCCUCUUGUUUUUUAUAGUUCUUAACACAAGGGUCAAUUGAUUUUAAAGACCAACUCAUUAAUUGAAUUGUAUUCACUAUACUUGAUAGGUCAUUUACCAAUUCACAAAUUGUAUUUCUUUCUUAUUAUUUUAUUAAACUUUUACCCCAUUUUCGUGAUAUCCAAUUGGUAGUUACAGUCUUGUCACAUCGCUGCAACUCCGAUACGGACUCAGGAGAGGUGAAGGUCGAGAGCCAUGCAUCCCCCGAAACACGACCCUGCCAAGCUGCACUGCUUCUUGACACACUGGUCGCUUAACCCAGAAGCCAGCAGCACCAAUGUGUCAGAGGACACACCGUACAACUGGCAACCGAAGACAGCUUGCAAGCUGGCAUGUCACAAGGAGUCGUUAGAGCGCGAUGGGACAAGGACAUCCCGGUCGGCCAAACCCUCCCCUAUAACCCGGACGAUGCUGGGACAUCUGGCCCAGGUCAGCCACCAGAGGGAGACUUGUCGAGGCCUGGUGACAGACGGAGUAUACAUCACGAGGCGAUGGCUCCAUCUGCUGGACGUGCCAAGACUCGACGGGCUCUCCGGCCAGGACUAAUUAGGGCUGAUUGGGAGUUGGUGAGUAAUCGAGGGCUGAUUGCUCACCAGCUAUCCCAAAAAGCUGCCAGAAGGGCAGCACACAGGAGAGAGAGUGGGGGAAGAAAGGACUCCCGUAUAGACGGUUGCAGAGGUGACUGGAGUGAGUUCAGUUUUUUGAUCCCCACAAGAUAGAGCAAGACCCGGAGCCAAGAAGACGGUAUCCCGGAGAGGGUCUCAUGGGGGAGACCUAUUCUUUUCUUUUGAGCUAUUACUUUAAUAAACACCUUUAAAACUGA